AUUGAACGCUGGCGGCAGGCCUAACACAUGCAAGUCGAGCGGAUGACGGGAGCUUGCUCCUUGAUUCAGCGGCGGACGGGUGAGUAAUGCCUAGGAAUCUGCCUGGUAGUGGGGGACAACGUUUCGAAGGGAACGCUAAUACCGCAUACGUCCUACGGGAGAAAGCAGGGGACCUUCGGGCCUUGCGCUAUCAGAUGAGCCUAGGUCGGAUUAGCUAGUUGGUGGGGUAAUGGCUCACCAAGGCGACGAUCCGUAACUGGUCUGAGAGGAUGAUCAGUCACACUGGAAGUGAGACACGGUCCAGACUCCUACGGGAUGCAGCAGUGGGGAAUAUUGGACAAUGGGCGAAAGCCUGAUCCAGCCAUGCCGCGUGUGUGAAGAAGGUCUUCGGAUUGUAAAGCACUUUAAGUUGGGAGGAAGGGCAGUAAGUUAAUACCUUGCUGUUUUGACGUUACCGACAGAAUAAGCACCGGCUAACUCUGUGCCAGCAGCCGCAGUAA
rnacentral:rRNA from 1 species